UCACAAUACCCUUUCCUUUUUCUUUUUUCAUUCUUUCAUUGGCAAAAAAAGAGAGAAAGAAAAAGAAUUUCCCAACAUGUUUGUGCCAAAUUAUUCUUGCUAUAUCAAAAACAAUUAUCCUCAGGUUAAGAAUGGGCCUGCAGAAUUACAACCAUUCCAGGGGGAAAAAGCAGUCUUCAUAAAUUUGACUGGCUUCCAGGCAGCCAAGACCCCCUCGAAGUGGUAAUGAAAAGUGUAACUUUAGCCUCCCAGCUGUACGUCUCAAUCCAUAAUCCUUUCCCAAAAACCUCACAGUAGAGCCGCCUACCACUCCCAUGGCGUUCCCAGCCUUUGCCGGGCUGGGCCUGCACUGAUUUAUGUGGCAGUCCUGAGUCAUACUCUCAACCUGAAAAGGAUUUGCUCUCCUAUAUUUACAGGGGUAGUCAGGCCGACUUACUUGAAAUACAGAAAGCCCCGUCUCCGGGCCUCAGUCCCCGCUCUUUUUUUCAUCUUCUCUGCCUCGGUAGCAAGGAAAUGUGGGAUUGUUACAAGAAUAUGAUGAGACUCUAGCGUUUUGUUUCUAUGAUGGAGUCUUGCUGCAGAAGAGAGGUCAGAGUCCAUGCACUCUUGCCACGCAGCCACAUGGCCACAUUAUGGUAUGCGGAUACCCAGACACAGCUCCGCUACCACACUGGUUCAGACCACCUCCGAGGUUUCAUUAUCAGCGCUGGGACUCACUAAUGGCUUGAUGGCUUCAGUGUUCUGGCUGCUGGAGAGGAGAAUCCAGGGAAGACGAAAAGAAAACCAAAGGUGCCAUGGGAGGAGUGUAGAGGCACAAGGAAAGGGGGAAAUAUGAGAUGUGAAAGAGAAAGGGGUUAACGUGAGUACAAUACUCUGACAUCCAACUGCUUUCCUUUAAAGCAAGUGGAGACUGGUGGAGGAUGAAGCAACAGGGCAAAACUAAUGUCAAAGAGCCGGUCGGGAGAUCCGACAAAGUGCUCUCUGCGCGCCUGGAUGACCACGUCUGGAAAAUGCUUGAAGUGUCUAAAUGUGCCUCCCAUACAUCCACACCUUACAUGUUUGCAACAGCUAACCUCACAACAUGCAGGAAGACUGGAGGAGGGAAUUCAGUUUCACUUUUUUUUUUUUUUUCCAAACAAAUGACACCAUGACAGUUGGAAAAAAUGUUGGGGUCCCUCAACAGAUUUCUCAGUUAUAAAAAUAAAAUGUGUUGGAUUAGACAAAGACAGACAUUUUAUAUUCUACUUUUGAACCCCAACGAGAGCACUGACAAAUGCCACCCCACCCCCACUCCGUCUGUGCCAUGAUUGUUGUUUUUUUUUCCCUUCUCUCUCGCGCCAGAAAUGUCAUAUAGUUAGGAGGUGAUAAUUCUAUAUGGCACAAACAGACACUGAUUUCUCCCAAGUGUAUGUAUAGCAUAUAGGCUGACAGAUUGAGAUGGUGUUUGUCUUUGCAUCAUGCUAAACUGGCAUACAGACUUUAGGCUUUUUCUAUAAGGUGAGGUUGUAAGCAUAGAAUAAGAAAUUGGGUGGAACCCUAAAGAAUAUUUACCAUUACAUGUUAAAAAAAUAUGUAUUCACAUGUUAGAGAUAGAAUAAUAAUAAUCCAGAAAAAGUAUUGAUACAUAGCUAAUUUCAUGCUGGGGAUGUUGGUGUGUAUGUUGAGUGUGAGCAACAGUGUUCAUAUCAUAUGUCAGACGCAUAUUGUAAAUGCUAAUUAUGUCAAUUAAAAUAUAAUGCAUGGUUUGUUUACAUCUGUCAAAUAUAAUGGAUUGUUAAGUCUGAAAAUAUUAUUUUAAUUCUUUAUGAUUAUAGUUUGAGUGUAGCAAAUAGGUCCAUUCAGUAACUGUCAGCAAAUGCGAGUAAAUAGGCAAAAUACAGGAGCAUAAGAAUCAGAAAACAAGCAGUACUCAUUCAAUGACUUUGAUUUAACAGGUGUAAUUAUUCUAAAUAUGAGGAAAUAUUUUGACAAUAAAAAUCCAUUAUAAAUCAAAGUAGCUGUGGUGUCCUUUAAAUGUUGGAUCCAAUUCUUGAUGGCUAUCCCUUAACCUAUAGUCCCCUCUCUUCUUUGGCGUUAAUUAAGUUCAGAAAGUUGUGACAUAUUUCCCUGAAAAAAUGCCCUACCUCUUCACAAAGCUAUAUAAUCAUGGCUAUGUA